GGGAAACAAAUAACAAAUUCUUCCUGAUAUUCGGCACACACAAAAUAUUAAACAGAUGGAGCACUUUAUUUUUCGUAGGCAAGGUAGAAUGUCCAACAGACAUAAUUUUUGCAAAGGUCUCAUCACUCAUUAAAAGAUAAGAUGUACCUGAGUAUGGCGUAGACUCAUUCAAAGUAGAGGCCUUUUUCUAGACAUGAUGUGUAACUCCUGAAUUAGGAUACCAUGAUGAAGUCCCUACAAGUAUAGGAAUAUAAGAAUCAAUAUUAUCAAAAUUGGACCCAUAUUGGGUCGUAUUCACAAUAGACCUAGUGGUGUUUGAGAAAUCUAACGCUGGUACAUCUGGAACCCGUGGCAACCCAACACACAGUGAGGAAUCAAAAACAAAAUUCGAAUCUAAAGCCCUAACUCCAAAAGGUGGCCCAAGAAGAACAUGUUCUUUAGGCUUUGUUAACCACGGAACACUCGAUCCACCAUUCGACCCACCAUUGUGCUCGCUUGGCCCACCAUUCAGCCCAUGAAUACCCACAUCGUUGACACCUAGGCGCUCAACACCGUGUCUAUGACCAGGUGGACCCCCAAACUAACAAAAUUAGCACCCGACCCAAGGCGUUGGCUAGCAUUAUGCGGCCUAAAGAAAUGGCUUACACCAUUCGGCCUAGAAAGACUAGCAUGUAGCCUAAAAUUCUGGCCUGCAACAAAUGGCCCGGUGAGGCCCAUGCCAUGUGACCCAUUUGCCAAACCAUCAAAAGGGUUAUGUGAAACCCUAAAAUCUACCACAUUUGUUACUGCCGCAUCUUGUAGAAGAAACUCCCACCAUCAGCCAUGGCUGAAACCAGGUGGAGCCGCUGUCGCAAAAAGGCCGAAUGAGCCUAGAACCUUCGGAGGGAAAGAGCAACCACCAUAGGCAGCACCUUUGCGUCGAUUCACAGCACCCGAACCAAAACCAUCGCACGACCCCCUUACAUCACUGUCAAUCGAAGCCUAUGCAUUUAAAGCCUGAGCUAUUGUCGUAGAGGGGUUGUCAUAGUCCCGAUUGAACCGAUAAUAACACCGCUGCGCCAAGCGCCCAAAUUUACCACAGAAUUGGCACAGGAUCUGAGAGUGAAAACCCCUUCCAUUGCCACCAGUAAAUGAGUGACCACCACGCGCGGGUUCCACCGCUAUCGGCGUCGGAGCAGCCUCCAUCAGAUUUGCAUGAAACGGCACGUCCUGCGCCACACGAGUCUGUCGAAUCUUAUAUUCCAAUAGAACAUCCACAAGUCGUUGCAUGGGAAGUAGCUCGAACGAGAACGAGGCUAGAGUGAGAACAACGUCGUGCUCCGAUGGCAGGCCCACAAGAACAAUUUUCACCUUCUCAGCCUCCGAGAUUCGAGAUCUAGAUGCUUCGAUCAAGGCACAAGUAUUUUGAAUCUUAGCCACAUAUUCUUUCAUUAUCAUAUUACCUUUUUUAAUCGAAUGCAAAUCAUGUUUAAUGCGAGAUAACUUUGCUCCGGUUACAGCGGCGAACAAUCGGUUUGCUGUACUCUAUACAUCACAUGAUGAUUUUUCAUCUGUAAAACACGAAAGAAGAGUACCACUAAUUGUGGACAACAACCAGGAUGCAAGCAACUUAUCUUGCUGAUGGAACAACGAAGCCUCUAGAUUAGGAACCAGAGGACCCUCCAAAGAUGGAAUAAACCGUGGUGGAGCAGGUAAGGUACCUUCAAUAAAUCUUGUUAAGUCAUAGCCUUCAACAAUAUUCAACUUUAUGUGUUGUUACCACUGUACAAAGUUAGUUUCAUCUAAUUUGACAGUAUCAUGUCGAGGGAAGCAUUGAAUUAAUCGAGAAUUUGACAGUAUAUUGGAUGAAUUACCAUUGUUUACAGAAACGGACUCGGUUGAGUUAGCCAUGAACGCGCAGCACGAGCAAGUCUCCAAGACUUAGGCGAAAGAUACCAUGUAAGUGUAUCCAACAAUUCAAUAGGAAAUGAAAUGAUUGAAAAUGAACUGAGAAAUUGAGUUAUUAUUAUUGCUCUCCUAAUACAGUAAAUAAAGUAUAUUUAUACAAUCUUCAAAGGGAUAACUGCUACUAACAACUUAUGAAUAGUACUCUAACAAAAUACUAACAGUCGAACAGCCUAACAGACUCUUCACUAAUUACUAAUGAUGAUAUACUAACAUAUUAAAACAAAUGAUAGUGAGACACUAUUGGAACUAGAAAGGAUAUAUGCCAACCCUGAAAUGUUUUGAGUUCUGCAGUAAAAUACACUGUUUGGAAAAGCUUGGGGCCUUCCAUUGUAGUUUGGGCUUAUACGGCUUAUGCCCUUAACAUGAGAAUUCUCAUGAUAAUUCAAAACUUGGAACUAGCUUCUUUUCAGCCACAGUUGUGUUGAAUCAUUGAUGCAGGUUGUGUCUUUAACUUUCCAGUCGGUACUCUUUCCACAUGGUGGAGCAGGGAAAUUCAUAAUCAUAAUAGCUCAGUUGGUUCGUUGGAAUUCAUAGGAAUUUCCUCAAACGUAUUUAUUGUCAUCUCCCAAUCUCCUUGCGAUUAGAUUUACUGGCCGGAUUUCCAUUAUCGUGUUUUACAAGUUCCUAACAGUUCCAAUCUAAUGCUUGGUCCUACAACUUAACUACAGAAAAGGGGUAUCCCGCAUAUUAUCAUUGUCAAAUAUGAAAGAUCAUGUUCGCUUGGACCACGAGUUUCUUUAGCUUUCACGUCAAUGGCAGCCUGGAAUUUUUUAAAAAAAAAACCUCUUAGAAUUUUUUUUCUAUCUGAGAGUAAUGUUACUUAUGUGAUCAUGAAUACCCAUUGACUUAGUUUUUUUCUGUUCCUUUUUACCAGAAAAGCUAUAGGGAAAAGCAUAAAAUUAAGCUACCUUGAGGCUAAAAUCAAGCUUACACUUAAAUUUAUUAAAUUGUAGUUUUAUAAUAAUUAAAAUUUCAAAACAAUAAAUUUUAUGUUUAGUUGGACACAGUUGUUGCAAAUAUAUAACUUUUACAUGUGAAAUAAUCUUGUAAAUAUAUAAUAAUAAAAUUCUCUUUUUUGAAAAGUAAAUCUUUCUUAUUUUUUUUAUUGGAAAAAAAGUCAUUUUAUUAAAAGAUAUAACUAUGUUUUAAAGUAGUUAUUUAUAUUAAAAGAUACAGUUUGAUUAAUAUUAUAAACUUCUUUUCAUUAUCUAACUUGAAGAUUUUGUUAAAUUGUAGACAUGUAAAAAAAAUGUUUACAGAUUUAGUUGUUGCGUAAUAAUUUCAUCAUUUUUAAUUCCGGAAUUAAUUUUCCAUUCAUUAUGUCAAUUAAUUUAAGGUGUUUUAUAUUUUCAAAACAUAAGCAAUGUGGAAUUAAACUUUAACAUUUUUUUACAAUUGGAUAAAUAUUAUACUUUUUAUAUAUAUAUAUAUAUUUCUAAAAGUAAAAAAAGAAGAAGAAAGUGUCCAAUUGUAUAAAGAAUGCAAAUAUAUAUCAUGAUAUUUAUCUUUAAAAAUAAGUCACAUCUAAUUAUUUUACGUAGUUAAAGUGAAAAAUUAGCCUAAAAGGAAAAUGAAGAAUUUAAAAUGAUGAAAUUAGAAUAUAAUUGAUGUACAGAAUUCUAAAACAAAUAUAAUAUAGGAAUUUGAGUAAAUUCUUUUAACAUUUUAUCGGGUGUAGAAUGCUAGCUUUCACUUUUUCUUAUAUGGAUUUGUAAAAAUAAAAUUAUAAAUAAAGAUUAAAAAAUUGAGUUGUCCACAUUGGAAUUGGGAUAUGUUAGUAGUAAGCUGAUUUGAUACCAAAUCAAAACAUGUCAAAAUCAACAGCGAGGACCGAGGAAUUUGAAAUAAAUGUUGUGUGGUUCAGUUCCAGUGAUUGCUUCUUGGACUUCCAAAACUUUCGUAUUUGUAUUUUUCGAUCGUACGGGUUUUAUGCAUUCUUCAAUGGCCAAGGGCCCUAAUCCCAUUUAUUGUUCUGCAUUUUGUUCACCACGCAGGGGUUUAGUCCUUUUAAAUUUAUAAUUAACCUUAUAAUUAAUUUUUUAUUGGGUUUCAUCCUUGAAUACUUUCUAUAGAAUAUUCACACGUGUUAAAUGUGUUAGAUGGUUGUUACCUAGUUGCUAGAUUGUUAAUUCUUUUGUAACAAUUUGGUUAUACAGGAUCCUGUUUUUAUAAGUAGAGUUUGUACACAGUAAAUAGAGAUAUUUAUUGAGUUAUCAUAUUGAUGAAUUGAAAUUUGGAUAAAUAAUUUAAUUAGAAAUGUGGUUAAUUAAGGUUCAGGGGCUAGAUUAUAAAAAUUUAAUCGCUAUAGCUUUUUAAUUAGAAAAAGGCUUAGGGACGUAAAUAACAAUUAAUCAAAUGAUUAAAAUGGAAAAUAAACCAAUUCAAAAAGGAUGUUAGUGGACGGUGAUGGACGGUGUCAUUUAAUUAAGUUAAUUAAACUAGUUUAAUUACAAUUAAACCAUAGUAUAAAUAGGAAAUGAAGUGGAGGAGAGAUGAAAUGUUGUUAUCUUCUUCCCAAAACCGUAGCAACCAAGGAAGAAAAAGAAGGCUUAAGGUUUUGCAAGCAUUCAACAAUACAAUUAGGUAUGGAAAUUUAGUUAUUUUAUUGUAAUUUGUAUAGAUUUGAGGUCAUGAGAGCUUGAUUUAGCUAGUCUAUGUACUAAAUUGUGAAACUAUUAAAAUUUUAGGAAGUUUUCAUUGAUAAAAAUUGAAUGAUUUAUGUAACACCUCAUACCUAGCCUAGACGUUAAGACCAAGUCUAGAGAGCUACAUCACAAUAUUUCAGAAAAAUCAACUCUUUAACCAUUUAAAGUUUGACUAACGUGAUCAUAUAUAAUCAAGUCAAUACGAAGUCCAAAUCAUAGUCUGAAAUUCGAAAUGCACAUAAUAGUAUAAGUCUAAAUAAAACAUUAAAUAAGAAGUAAAGAGAUAACCGAGCUCCUACCAUGCCGACCUGCCUAAGCCUGUAGGUUACCUGAAAUCCAUUCAAUAACUAAGUGAGUUUGCAACUCCAUGUGUGUAACUUACAUGUAGUAAUAAUUAGUAAACUACAAUUGUAAUCUCAUUUACCGUAGAUCAUCCGUUACUCAGAAUUAGAUACAGAACAAAAACAAAGAAAGUCGGAUAUAGUUACAUGGUAUGUCAGAUACAGAUGCAGAACAUCUCAAAUUCAGAUGCAGAUUCCUAACCCCAUGCGCUACACACUAUCUUUAAUAAUCCCAACACACCAUAUAGGGCAUCAAACACUCGUCCAUCCCUACAUACCACGUAGUGACCAUAUGCCACAUUUUAGAAUAAUCGCAGCAUAGCUGCCAGAUCAGAAUGCGAUAAAUCGCUACCAGAUUCAACAAAUAAUUAAACUGAACAUUUCUUUCUUUAAACAGCCCCAAUCCCGAUGUAGAUGCAAUCCAACAGAUGUAGAUAUAAGUAUGCAGAGUAACAUAUUCGGAUCAUACCUAGUUAAUACAACAUACAUUUACUUGCUUGUCUACAAUCUCAACGUUAUUGGCAUAAUAACAGUUCAUACAGAAACAAAUUAUCCACUAAUGGAUUUCAUAGCCCAAAUUAGAUCAUACGGGCCCUACGGUAGGAUUAUGUUCAACGAAAAAGACGUUUACGACCCUAAAAACAUUUAGAAUCUUGGUCCACACGCCCGUGUGGUUUUAUACGGCCUAAAUAACUAGCCCACGUGGUUCUACACGGCCUGAAAAACGCUUGUGUCCUUAGUCCAUGUGGUUCUAAUAUUCAAACAGUGUGUUACGUGGCCUCGACAAACGCCCGUGUCCUUGGCGCGUGUGAACCCUGCACAGUACAUACCCACACACGGCCUUGAGAAACGCCCGUGUCCUUAGCUUGUGUGUCUCUAAUUUUUGAACAGCCGAUGACUUGACCAACUCUCUCGCUUUACUCGAAUUGAGCUUCACUGAUCUAAGCUUCACUAUUUUCAUUGCAACUUUUUACCAGAAGUUCGAUGACAAACUCACCUCUUCCUUGGGUGGAAACCCCUCCGAUAACUCAACAAGCUCCGAUGUUGCCUUUUUUUUACUACAACUUGUUUGGGAAAGUUUCGUAACUCAGCUACACGGUCUGCCACACAGCUUAGCACACAGUUUAGCACACAGCCUACCACACGUCCUACCACACGUCCUGACACACGAUCGGGUGACAUUAAAGCUAUGUUUUUCGGCGUUUGAAUUUCACAAAAGAAGUUAAGUUUUUCUUACACAUACUUGAUAUAGAUUCAACGCAGAUACAACAGGAGUGAUUCCAAAACCUAAAAAUGAUAAGCAGGGUUUCAAUCAAUGACUUAAAUGUACAAUUCACAAAAAAAAUAGUCAAGCCCACAUGUCGAAAACUUCAGCGCUAACCCAAAAAGUAAACGAACUAUUACCGAUAAAUCAACAACAAUUCCUCGAACUUAGACCGUUGAGGGAACAUUUUCUGCAAGAUCUUUGCUUAACAAACCCUAAUUGCACAAUUAACGAAAAUUUAAACUAUAAUAGUAUUUUCUAACUUUAAAAAAUAAUAAAAAACUCAUGAAAACAAAAAAGAAUGACGAUAGAACUUACGCAAUAACCUUUCACAAAAGCAAUGAGUAACGGAGAAACCUCAAUUUAACUCGGCACAAUUUACGGAAGUAAGAAAAAAGAAAGAAAAUGAAAUCUAUAGGUCUAAGGAUGGUAUGCAGUACUGAAAUAUAGUCAGGUGCCCAAAGCCUUGUGAAGCCUCUUCCAAAAUUGAGAAGUAAAACGUAGAUCUCUGUAAAAAAUAACCGAAACUGGAACUCCGUGCAGUCUUACAAGUUUAGAGACAUACAGUUUAGCUAAUUUUUAAAACGAGUAGUCUGUCUUGAUUCACAAAAAAUGAGCAAACUUGGUCAAUCAAUCAACAAUGACCCAAACCGAAUAUUUCUUAGAGGGUGUCAAAGGCAACCCGCUAACGAAAUCUAUCGCCACUCGCUCUCACUUCCACAAGGGAAUUUUAAUCGGCUGUAGUAGACCAGAAGGCAAUUGAUGCUCAGCCUUAACCAUCUGACACGUCAAACAAUAAGAGACGAAGACAGUAAUCUCUCAUUUCAAAUCGGACCACCAGUAGAUCUCUCGAGGAUCUGUAUAUAUUUUAUUCCUAUCGAGAUACAAAGCAUAGGGACUAUUAUGCGCUUUUUAGAAAAUCAAUUGCCUUAACUUCGUAUUGUUAGGCACACAUAUUUGACCAUUGAAAGACAAAACCCUGUCGCUGUUUAAUCUAAAAUUAGAAGUUUCACCCAAUUCAAUUUGACAAACACGCAGAAGCAGAGACUCAUCACUAAACUGUUUUCCACAAUUCUCAAAGUAACCCUUUUAGAGGCACAGUCGAGACUGACCCGAUGUUUCACAAGUCAAUCCAUUCCCAAAAUUAGAUUAUACUUACCAAAAGGUAAUUCUGUUAAAUUGGCUGAAAAUACUACACCUUGAAUUUCUAAUAGAUCCCGUUUAUAUACUUUGUUAACUUUAACUGACUGACCCAAAUGACUAAUUACAAAAACUUCUCUAGUAGUACAUUCAGCAAAAAUACCCAAAUUUACAAAAAUAGUACUAGAUACAUAAGAGUGUGUAGACCAAAUGUCAAUCAAGGUAAAAUAGGGAACAUUAUAAAUAAAGAAUAUACAUACUAUAACGUCAGCGUUAUAUCCUCGCAGCGCCUCGCCGCAUACACAAGUGCAGGCUGACGUACCUUAGUCUGAACAACACCUUUACUCGGUGCUCCCUGUCCUCUACUAGACCCAUUACCACCCCUGACCAUACCAAGGCCCCGACGCGACUGCUGAGAUACUCUCGGAGGCUGAACAAGACCCGAAGCUGAAGUCUGUGCCAUAAUGGGCACCUGAUCUGAUUGGUGAAGGCAGUCUCGAACACGAUGCUCCAUCGUCCCACAACGGAGACAAGCUCUUAAUUUCCUCCAGUACUCACCCGAAUGACACCUCCUACACUCAUUACAUAGUUGAAUCUCAGUCAGUGCAGUUGGUACCUCAAUCCUUGGAGGCCUGUCAAAUCUAGCUCAUUUCUUAGGGUUUUGAACAGAACUAAAGAGACUCAAAUACCUCUUCACCUUAACCGGACCUCUCUCCCAGUCCCUCAUCUCUCGCUCAGUGCGCUUCACCUCUUCUGCUAUCUUUGUCUUAUCAACCAAGGCUGUAAAAACCCGUUCCCUCUAAGGAACUAUCAAAACCUGCAGAUCAUAACGUAGAACUUCUUCAAACUUCACACUCUUAUCAUAAUCAGAAGCAACCAAAGCUCGAGUAUACCUACUCAAUCUUAAAAACUCGACCUCAUAUUCAGCCACAGACCUCUCACCCUGAGCCAGACUUAUGAACUUGAGUCUGCAAGCCUCCACAUAACUUACCCCACAUACUUUCCCUAGAAGGCAUUCUUAAAGAUCUAAAGUGUUCUAUUUGGGUUGAGCACCCUGCUCAACCGUCAGCCACCACUAAUAGUCUUUAUCUCAGAGCAGAGAUAUAGCACCCCUUAACUUCUGAGUAGGAGUACAAUCAAUGUCAGUCAUGAAACACUCGGUGGCCUCCAACCAAUAUUCGGCCAUAGUAGGGGCAACUUUAGUGACACCCUUAAACAAUUCAGCACCAUUCGACCGAAGUCGCUUAGUAACAAACCCUCGGCCUCCAGAUCCAGAGUGGGUCUCUAAGACCCCUUUCAAGCACACGCAACAUUACCUGGGACAAUGUGUAGUACCCUGGGACCCUUUUCAAGAUCAUGUCUCUGCAGUAAAAGUACCUAUCGACUUCUAAGGUUAAUAUUGGGCAAGCUGCCUAUCGAGAAAGACUCAGUUUGAGCCCACAAAACCCAAAUCCAUGACUACCAUAUGAACUCAUUUCAAUAAAUUAUCUACAAUGUCAGAAAUACACAGAUCAGUUUAGAGUCUUCACCACAGUUCUCAUGUCAAUUCAUAUUAGAAUGUUUGACCAAACCACAGUUUCAAUCACUACUAUGUCUCAACAAAUCAUAAUAACUAAACAGGAAUACUUAUAGGUUUAGUGUCAGACAUUGAGAAAGACUCAGCUUGAGCCCAUAAAACUCACGUCCACAACUACCAUGUGAACUCAUUUCAACAAAUUAUCUACAAUGUCAGAAAUGCAUAGAUCAGUUCAGAGUCUUUACCACAGUUCUUAUGUCAAUUCAUUUUAGAAUGUUUGACCAAACCACAGUUUCAAUCACUACUAUGUCUCAACAAAUCAUAAUAACUGAACAGGAAUACUUACAAGUUUAGUGUCAGAAACUCGAUCCUUCAUAAACCAAUUAUCAGAGUUAUUUGAAGAAAUAGAAAAUAAUUAAUUCAGAACAUGACCUUGAUAUCACUAAAUGUAACACCCCUAGAGAGCUACAUCACAACAUUUUAGAAAAACCAACUCUUUAACCAUUUAAAGUUUGAAAAACAUGAUCAUAUAUAAUUAAGUCAAUACGGAGUCCAAAUCAUAGUCUGAAAUCUAAAACACACAUAAUAGUACAAGUCUAGAUAAAAUAUUAAAUAAAAAGUAAAGAAAUGGCUGAGCUCCUACCACGCCAACUCGCCUAUGCCUGUGGGUUACUUGAAAUCCAUACAACAACUAAGUGAGUUUGCAACUCCGUAUGUGUGUAACUUACAUUUAGUACUAAUUAGUAAACUACAAUUGUUAUCUCAUUUACCGUAGAUCAUCUGUUACUCAGAAUUAGAUACAGAAUAGAAACAAAGAAAGUCGGAUAUAGUUACAUAGUAUGUCAGAUACAGAUGCAGAACAUAUCAGAUUUAUAUGUAGAAUAAAUCAGAUUCAGAUGCAGAUUUCUAACCCCAUCUAUUACACACCAUCUUUAUCCAUCUCAACACACCAUAUAGGGCAUCAAGUACUCGUCCAUCCUUACACUGCGUAAUGACUAUAUCUCACGUUUCAGAAUAAUCAAAGCGUAAUUGUCAGAUCAGAAUGCGAUAAAUCGCCACAGAUUUAAUAGAUAAUUAAACAGUCACACUUCCUUCUUAAACAACACCAAUCUCAAUACGAAUGCAAUCCAACGGAUGCAGAUUUAAGUAUGCGGAGUAACAUAUUCAGAUCAUACUCAAUGUUAUGUGUAUAAUAAUAGUUUAUACAAAAACACCCACUAAUGGAUUUCAUAGCCAAAAUUAGAUUAUACUGGCUCUACUGUUACAUGGUAUGUCAGAUACAGAUGUAGAACAUAUCAGAUUUAUAUGUAGAAUAAAUCAGAUUCAGAUUCAGAUUUCUAACCCCAUCCAUUACACACCAUCUCUAUCCAUCCCAACACACCAUAUAGGGCAUCAAGUACUCGUCCAUCCCUACACUGCGUAAUGACUAUAUGUCACAUUUCAGAAUAAUCGCAGCGUAGCUGCCAGAUCAGAAUGCAAUAAAUUAGUAAACUACAAUUGUAAUCUCAUUUAUCGUAGAUCAUCUGUUACUCAGAAUUAGAUACAAAAUAUAAACAAAGAAAGUCGGAUACAGUUACAUGGUAUGUCAGAUACAGAUGCAGAACAUAUCAGAUUUAUAUGUAGAAUAAAUCAGAUUCAGAUGCAGAUUUCUAACCCCAUCCAUUACACACCAUCUCCAUCCAUCCCAACACACCAUAUAAGGCAUCAAAUGCUCGUCCAUCCCUACACUGCGUAAUGACUAUAUCUCACGUUUCAGAAUAAUCACAGCGUAGCUGCCAGAUCAGAAUGCGAUAAAUCGCCACAGAUUCAAUAGAUAAUUAAACAGUCACACUUCUUUCUUUAUACAGCACCAAUCUGAAUGCGAAUGCAAUCCAACGGAUGCAGAUAUAAGUAUGCGGAGUAACAGAUUCGGAUCAUUCUCAAUGUUAUGUGUAUAAUAAUAGUUUAUACAAAAACAAAUUACCCACUAAUGGAUUUCAUAGCCCAAAUUAGAUCAUACUGGCUCUACUGUUACAUGGUAUGUCAGAUACAAAUGUAGAACAUAUCAGAUUUAUAUGUAGAAUAAAUCAGAUUCAGAUGCAGAUUUCUAACCCCAUUCAUUACACACCAUCUCUAUCCAUCCCAACACACCAUAUAGGGCAUCAAGUACUCGUCCAUUCCUACACUGCGUAAUGACUAUAUGUUACGUUUCAGAAUAAUCGCAGCGUAGCUGCCAGAUCAGAAUGCAAUAAAUUAGUAAACUACAAUUGUAAUCUCAUUUACCGUAGAUCAUCCGUUACUCAGAAUUAGAUACAAAAUAGAAACAAAGAAAGUCGGAUAUAGUUAUAUGGUAUGCCAGAUACAGAUGCAGAACAUAUCAGAUUUAUAUGUAGAAUAAAUCAGAUUCAGAUGCAGAUUUCUAACCCCAUCCAUUACACACCAUCUCCAUCCAUCCCAACACACUAUAUAGGGCAUCAAGUACUCGUCCAUCCCUACACUGCUUAAUGACUAUAUAUCACAUUUUAGAAUAAUCACAGCGUAGCUGCCAGAUCAGAAUGUGAUAAAUCGCCAUAGAUUCAAUAGAUAAUUAAACAGUCACACUUCCUUCUUUAUACAGCACCAAUCCCAAUGCGAAUGCAAUCCAACGGAUGCAGAUUUAAGUAUGCGGAGUAACAGAUUCGGAUCAUACUCAAUGUUAUGUGUAUAAUAAUAGUUUAUACAAAAACAAAUUAUCCACUAAUAGAUUUCAUAGCCCAAAUUAGAUCAUACUGGCUCUACUGUUACAUGGCAUGUUAGAUAUAGAUGUAGAACAUAUCAUAUUUAUAUGUAGAAUAAAUCAGAUUCAGAUGCAGAUUUCUAACCCCAUCCAUUACACACCAUCUCUAUCCAUCCCAACACACCAUAUAGGGUAUCAAGUACUCGUCCAUCCCUACACUGCGUAAUGACUAUAUGUCACGUUUCAGCAUAAUCGCAGCGUAGCUGCCAGAUCAGAAUGCAAUAAAUUAGUAAACUACAAUUGUAAUCUCAUUUACCGUAGAUCAUCCGUUACUCAGAAUUAGAUACAAAAUAGAAACAAAGAAAGUCAGAUACAGUUACAUGGUAUUCAGAUACAGAUGCAGAACAUAUCAGAUUUAUAUGUAGAAUAAAUCAGAUUCAAAUGCAGAUUUCUAACCCUAUCCAUUACACACCAUCUCCAUCCAUCCCAACACACCAUAUAGGGCAUCAAGUACUCGUCCAUCCUUACACUGCGUAAUGACUAUAUCUCACAUUUUAGAAUAAUCACAGCGUAGCUGCCAGAUCAGAAUGCGAUAAAUCCUCACAGAUUCAAUAGAUAAUUAAACAGUCACACUUCCUUCUUUAUACAGCACCAAUCUCAAUGCGAAUGCAAUCCAACGGAUGCAGAUAUAAGUAUGCGGAGUAACAGAUUCGGAUCAUACUCAAUGUUAUGUGUAUAAUAAUAGUUUAUACAAAAACCAAUUACCCACUAAUAGAUUUCAUAGCCCAAAUUAGAUCAUACUGGCUCUACUGUUACAUGGUAUGUUAGAUAUAGAUGUAGAACAUAUCAGAUUUAUAUGUAGAAUAAAUCAGAUUCAGAUGCAGAUUUCUAACCCCAUCCAUUACACACCAUCUCUAUCCAUCCCAACACACCAUAUAGGGCAUCAAGUACUCGUCCAUCCCUACACUGCGUAAUGACUAUAUGUCACGUUUCAGAAUAAUCGCAGCGUAGCUGCCAGAUCAGAAUGUAAUAAAUUAGUAAACUACAAUUGUAAUCUCAUUUACCGUAGAUCAUCCGUUACUCAGAAUUAGAUACAAAAUAGAAACAAAGAAAGUCGGAUACAGUUACAUGGUAUGUCAGAUACAGAUGCAAAACAUAUCAGAUUUAUAUGUAGAAUAAAUCAGAUUCAGAUGCAGAUUUCUAACCCCAUCCAUCACACACCAUCUCCAUCCAUCCCAACACACCAUAUAGGGCAUCAAGUACUCGUCCAUCCCUACACUGCGUAAUGACUAUAUGUCACAUUUCAGAAUAAUCGCAGCGUAGCUGCCAGAUCAGAAUGUGAUAAAUCACCACAGAUUUAAUAGAUAAUUAAAUAGUCACACUUCCUUCUUUAUACAGCACCAAUCUCAAUGCGAAUGCAAUCCAACGGAUGCAAAUAUAAGUAUGCGGAGUAACAGAUUCGGAUCAUACUCAAUUUUAUGUGUAUAAUAAUAGUUUAUACAAAAACAAAUUACCCACUAAUGGAUUUCAUAGCCCAAAUUAGAUCAUACUGGCUCUACUGUAGGCCUAUGUUUGAUGAAAAUAAUGUUUACGGGCUUAGCAAAAAAUUUAGAAUAUUGGUCCACAUACCCGUGUGGUUUCACACGGCCUAGCACAUGGUUGUGUCACUUACCCGUGUGGUCCUAAUAUACAGACAAUGUGUUACACAGCUAGGAGACACGCUCGUGUCCUUAGCCUGUGUGGUUUUGAUGUACAAAUAGUGUGUUACACAGCCUAGACAUAUGUCUGUGUCUUUCGCCAGUGUAAACCCUACACAAGACAUACCUAGACAUGACCUGAAUACAUGUCUGUGUCCUUAGCUCGUGUGUCUCUAAUUUGUGAACAGUAAGCUACAUGGUCUGCCACAUCGUCGUGUGGCAUUGAAGGCAUGUUUUACGGUGUUUGAAUUUCACAAAAGAAGUCAAGUUUUUAUUAUACACACUUAAUACGGAUUCCAAAGCCUAAAAACGACAAAUAAAGUUUCAAUCAAUGACUUAAAUGUACAAUUCACACAAAAACAACAGUCAACCCUACAUGUUAAAAACUUCGACACUAACCUAAAAAGUAAAGUAAACACUAACCUAAAAAGUAAAGUAACUCUUACCGAUGAAUCAAUAGUAAUUACUCAAACUUAGACCGUUGAUGAAACGUUUUCUACAAGAUCUUCGCCUAACAAACCCUAAUCGCACAAUUAAAAAAUUUCAAACCAUAAUAGUAAUUUCUAACUUCAAAGAACAACAACAAAAACCUGUGAAAACAAAAGAGAAUGACGACAAAACUUACGUAAUAACCUUUCAACAAUGCAAUGAGCAAUAGAGAAACCUCAAUUUAACCCGACACAAUUUACGAAAGUAAGCAAAAAGAAAGAAAAUGAUUGAGGAAAGAAAAUAAGAAAAAUGAAGGAAAAAUAAAAUAGAAAAGAAAAACGUUUAAGAACAUAUCUUUUUAAACAACUAGAAACUAACAGCCUUUUUACCAAGUAACAUAAAAAAAAUAUCUCCUUAACGCAUGUGAAGAGACUCGAACACAAAAUCAGAAGGUAUACAGAAGCUUAAUCAUCGAGCCAGUAGCAUUAUUCUUGACAUAGAAUUACACAGAAUUAAACUUAAGUCGAUAGUUGAAGAAUAGAGAUUUAGUCAAUUUAAAACAAAAUCGCAAAACUUUCUAACAGUGAAACUCGAACCCCUAACCUCGAACAUAUAAGUAGAACACUUAACCACAUAUAUCAAGACUUAAUUAUGGACAGACAUUAACAGGAAAACAAUCAAAUUUUUGGGGCAGUGCAAUUUAGGUGUGAAAUUGUUAGAAUUUUAAACUUAGAUUAUGAAAAUGACUAAAUUAUAAAACUUAAUUGUUAGUUUCGUACAUUAGGGACCAAAUCAAAUAAAAUGACAAAUUAUUAUGAAAUAUUAAUAUGAAUAGAGAAUAGAAGGCCUAUAAUCAAUUUUUGUGAAAAUCAGAUUUUAAUCAGAAGCCCAAAAUUGAAAGUUAAGUUUGUCUCGAUUUUAGGUACUAAAUUGAAUAAAUUGAAAAAUAUGUGUAAAUUGAUAUUUGGUUAUGAAUUUGAUGGAAAUUGAUAAUGUGUUAUGUUUUGUGACUAUUUUUAUCUAACGUUGUAAUACCCUAUACUCGAUCCGAUUGCUAGGUCCAGGUACCGAAUUUCACAUUCAACUCGAUUAUAUUUACAAGUUACUAAUUUGCUUUAAUUACAUACUUAGUCAAAUCUCAAUUUUCAAAAUUUAUUUCUACUGAAACUCAUAUCUUACUAGUAAUAAAUUAUUACAACUUUGAUGUCUUAUUAAUCCUACUAGUUAUUUACAAAAUUUAAGCUUAACUCUAAUACAAACAUAUCCAACUUAAACCCUGGGGCAUGGCCACUAAGAGUGCCUCUCUAUAUGCACGAAACAAUUACCGGUCCCCCUCUAGAAUCUGGCAGUGUUUGGCUUAGUCCUUUCACUCGAUUCCAUAAUCAUCACCUACCAUAUAUACAAGUAGUAAAUGUUAUAAGGUUGGGAGGACUUAGCGAGAACCUAUAUAAUGGUAUUCAUAGAAUAUUUCUUAAAAUUAGGGGAAAAGGAAUUUUAUGCACAGGUGAAAAACUCCCUGAAGCUUGUAGGAAUAUUUGUAAAUUUUGAUGGUGUAGCCAUUGCCUUGUUUUCUCCGAGUGAACUUUAAGUGGACAUUGCCACCCUCUAUAACUAUGUUCUAAAAAUUUCUUUCUUAUGGUCUAUGAACCUGUUUAUAAUUAUUCUAGACUUUUCUUAAACCUGUUAGGAUAUGUCUCGUCAUUGAUUACCCGUAUUUGCCAUAAUGGAUUUGGCAAUGCCUACAAGCGUUUCAACCGAGACCUCCCAUAACUGCGAAUCCCUUCCUUGAUCACAUUGAUCUACACUGAUCUCCAUCCAGAUUUUUGUACCAUUUUAGUGGUAAACUGCUUUUUAACUUAAACUAUGCUUGACUACAUUCCUAGGUAAGGUCCAUUUCUAUUAUCCUCAUUCACGAACUUGAAUAUGAUACUUGGCUGACUGAAUAAUCACUCCCUUUUCAUAGCGGGCUCAUACCUGCAAUGUAACCCUAGAGUACUUGAAUAUGGUCCCUGCAGACAUUUUCGCGCUAACAAGUCUUAACUUGACAUCCCUUUUCUUAAAGAUAUCUGGCGGAUUCACUGAUUAGUCUGAUUAACUUAAAAUUUGUUUCAUUGACUCACUUAUUGUACCCAUUAUUAGAUUACUCAAUAGUUAUUGGCAAACUAAUAAUGGCGGGUACCCCAUACCUCGAAGAGUUUGUUAACUCUACUUUGUUAAAACCAAAAUUAUCAAAUUCCUCUUUUCGUCACAAUUUAACGAAUUCACUUACUAACAAACUUACCCGCAUUCUUGGACACUUCUACCAACUAUUUUCCUCUUCUUAGUUUAGCAGAUUCUCUUACUAUCUCGUUUACUCGCGUUCUCAUAUGCAUCGCAUUAAUCCAACUAUCCUACUAGCCGCGCGGAUCAUACAAUGAAUUUUCCUUUUUCGUGCCCAGUCAGGUUCCUAGUUUCCAUUAUGGCAGACUUUAUAUAUUGUCAUAACCCAGUUAUGAUCUUACACAAAUUAAACUCAUGUUUACUGUCCUAACGGACUCCAUAUGUUGCCAUAGUCUAGCUAUGGGCUUACACAUAUUAAACCCAUGUUCACUAUCCUGGCGAACUCCUUAUGUUGCCAUAGACUAACUAUGGUCUUACACAUAUUAAACCCAUAUUUAACUGGUUUGCAUGCUCUUUCACAUACUAUUGAUAAUUAAAUAUCGUAAAUGAGUAUUUGUAAUGCAACUUGUAACGUUUGAUCAUUUCUAAUAUCAAUAUACCAACUAAUACAUUACAUCCCCUAUUAACAUGACUUGGACUUGAACGGAUACAAGGAUACCAACCAACACACCAAAUUUGGCAACUAGUGCCUCGUUGGAAUGUAACAACCUAUUUUUCAAUGUGGUCGAAAAUAGUGGUUUCGAGACCACAAAUUUGAUGAGUAAGUUUGAGUAAUUAAUAUUUAUAUUAUACGAGUCAAUAAUAAAUUUAUAUUGAAUUUUGAUUUAAUGAAUUUUAACUAAUUGAAUUAAAAGUUAGUAUAAGUGGUUUAGUUCAAAAGUCGAGUGGUUUUUGGAAAUGAGGUACUAAGACCUCGUUUUCGUAAUUUAAGACCGUAAAUAUUUUUACUAAAAUAUUUACAAAGUCGUAUUAUAGGUGAAUUAAAGUUGGGUCUGGUAAUUUUGACGAUUGGUUGCUUAAUUAAGGUAAAAGGAUUAAAUUGCAAAAGAGGUAAAAGCUAAUUGUAUAGAUUUUAAAUAGUAGAGGGACCAAAAUGGUAAUUAAAAAAUGGUCAAAAAUUCCAAGCAGUGGUGGACAUGAUUAAAUCCACUAACUUCUGGGUUAUUUGCUCAUUAGUCCUAAUUAGUUUAGGAUUAAAUUGAAAUUCAACUUGUUUAGUUAAAUUUUAAAAUAAUUGAAGGACUAAUUGUGUAAUUAAACCAUCCUUGAGUGGUAACUAUGCCAUAAGUGGUAAUUGUGGAUGAUAAUGGGCUAGGAAUUGUUAAAUUUGAAUGAUAAUUAAAAGGUAAAAGGUAAAUAAAUAAACAAACUUUAUAAACAAAAGAGUCAUCUUCUUCAUUAAGCCAAAAAAAACUGAAUUAGCCAUUAGAGAAGAGAAGAGGAUUCGGCCAAGCUAGGGCUUCCAUUUGGUUAGGUAAUUCUUGCCCCUUUUUAGUAAUUUUUAUAUUUUUGAGCUCGUACUAGCUUAAUCUAGCUAACCUGGGGACUAAUUUGUAAAAAUUUUAAAUGUUUUGGAUGAUAUCAUUGAUGAUUUUGGUGUGUUCUUAAAUUUUUAUGAUAGAUUAUUAAUCUUGGUUGACAAAUGGGACUAUUUGUAAAGUAAUUUUUAGUAAUUUUAAUGUUUAAGGACUAAAACGUUAAAGUGAUAAAGUUAUAAGGACUUGAUGUGUAAUAACAAAAAAUUAUGCGUUGUAAUGGAGCGUUAUACUAUUCAGUUGAAUUUAAUUUAAGUUAAAAUUUGUUAAAUUGCAAGUUUUGGACUUAAGGACUAAAUUGCAUAAAAGUGAAAUAAUGGGGGCAAUUUCAUAAAAAUAUCAAAAAGACUUAAUUGCAUAAAAUGAAUUAAUUUUUUUGUUAGAAUUAGUGAAUUGAAUAGAAUUAUUAUUUUAGAUUCUGAACUAGUGGAAAAUUAAGGAAAAGAGAAUUAUCGAAUAACCCUUGUACAUUGUCGUUGCUGCAGAUUAGUUUGGUAAGUUCAUUCGGUUUAAUUUUAGCACCUUUAUAAAUGUACUAUAUGAACCUAAUUGCAUAAUUUUGGAUUACUAUUGAUUUUUGUAAUUGAAAAUGGAAAUAAUGAAUUGAUAUAACGUUGAUCACUGACUAAGAAGCUUUGAACCGUUACUACGAAUUAGUCUAGUAAGUUCGUACAAUUAUUUUUAUGUUUAUAAUGAUUAUUACAUAGUACAAGUUUUAUUUUAAUUAGAUCCAAUAUUGCAUUUAUUAUUUAAUGAUUAUAGAAUAAUUAAUAAAUGAAUAUAUUGAGUACCGGAUGUAACUAAAUAUUAGGCUUGUGCAAGUGUUAUCUAUUAGGCCUUGUGCUAGUGUCAUCUAUCAGGCUUUGAGCCGGUAAUACAGACCAUAGCGAUGGCUUGACAUCUUGCAUGUGUUGCAGAUUCUCUACAGCUUGUGUGAGUAGCAUCAUGAGCCGGUGAUUAUUUUAGCAGGUAUUAUGUACCGCUGAUACAGGCCAUACUGAUAGCUUGAGAUCCUGUAUGUGUUGCGGAUUCUCUACAACUUGUGUGAGCAGUAUCGUGAGCUAGUCAAAAUUCUGAAGUUAACUCGAAUGAGUGAUACCCUGAAUUACCUGAAAUAAGAUCUUCCUACACGAUAACUUGGAAUAUGAUUUGAAUUAUUGUAUUGUGCAAUAGUCACCUGUUGUGAGUUGUGAUUGACAGGAAUUCUGAUAAUAACCUUGUAACAGGAACUCUACUAUUUAAUCUUGUUAUUUGAUUUUUUGUAUUUAAUUCGGAAAGAUUUAUCGUUUAAUCGACGAACUUACUAAGCUUUACGAAAGCUUACUCGUGUUAUUUGUCUUAUUUCUUCUAG
rnacentral:lncRNA from 1 species